rnacentral:rRNA from 1 species
GACGAACGCUGGCGGCGUGCCUAAUACAUGCAAGUAGGACGCAGUUGCGAACGGGUGAGUAACGCGUAGGUAACUGCCUAUUAGAGGGGGAUAACUAUUGGAAACGAUAGCUAAUACCGCAUACUAGUAGAUGGACCUGCGUUGUAUUAGCUAGUAGGGAGGGUAAUGGGCUACCUAGGCGAAGAUACAUAACCGACCUUGAGGGGGGUACGGGCCACCUGGGACGUGGACACGGCCCAAGAUCCUACGGGGGGGAACAAGAGGGAAUUUUUGGCCAUGGGGGGAACCCCGGACGAGGAACGCCGCGGGGUGGAAGGAGGUUUUCGGGUCGGAAAGCUCUGUUGUUAAGGGAGCGGUACUUAACCAGAAAGCGACGGCUAACUACGUGCCAGCAGCCGCGGUAAUUC